UACGUAGGGUGCGAGCGUUGUCCGGAAUUAUUGGGCGUAAAGAGCUUGUAGGCGGUUUGUUGCGUCUGCUGUGAAAAUCCGGGGCUCAACCCCGGACUUGCAGUGGGUACGGGCAGACUAGAGUGUGGUAGGGGAGACUGGAAUUCCUGGUGUAGCGGUGAAAUGCGCAGAUAUCAGGAGGAACACCGAUGGCGAAGGCAGGUCUCUGGGCUACUACUGACGCUGAGAAGCGAAAGCAUGGGGAGCGAACAGG
rnacentral:rRNA from 1 species